GACCUUUGUUGAUUUCUCUAGUAAAGGCAAAAUUGAAGGUUCAAGAUUGCAAGUUGAUAACAUGACUUAUCAACAACAGCUGGGAUCAGGCGUCGAUUAUCUAUGGUCAUACCGUAUUAAAAGAAAUAUGGAUGACAUUCAAGGUAAGUGGCUCCCGUUGACCCCAAAGGUCUGGGAAUGGAGCUGGAGUGCUUGAAAACUUGCUUUGACGUGAAGGUCAAAGCAUGCCGGCCAGAUAAGGGAACUGGAAUUAUCUGGUCCGUAGGCACCGUUGCCAAAACACUAUUAUAAAGUAAUAUAGGUGAGUGUAUAAUGGCACCUAGAAUUGAUUUUUUGAGACGAGGAGAAUCUGAUGACUCAAAUAGCAAUGUGCGUUGCCAUUUUAACUAAUUUCAACUAAUAGUGCAAAGAAGCAGAGUUCUGUGUGUCCGAUUGCAUUAUGGAGACUGAACAGCCAGCAAGCUGCUGUAUUAUCUCCGGGCAAGAAGCCAAUUAUGGAGGGGUUACAGCAGUCUUGUCUGAAUUAAACUAAUGUUAAAAGUUGUUUUAAACAUGACCACCACUUCUGAACCACAAAUUCUAGCAUGUGCAGUUGACAUUGAAUUGGCACACGAUUAAGUAGUGAGUAAAUUGACAAAAGGUUCAGAAGGGGGGUGGUUUGAAUUAUUGUGUUAUUAUUAUUCUUAUUUUUCUCUCAGGAAUGAUGAAAUUACAAGACUUAGACGAGAGAGAGAAAUGGGCCAGGAAAAUACAACGCUGGCGACAAGCCUGUAUACCACAACCUUGUCUGACGGUGGUUGGGCUUAGUAGGAGUAGAGAUAAAGAGGACAAACAAGUGCUCAUUGAAAGAGGGAUUCAUGGAAAGACCUUGACCGAACGUAGCACUCCUUUGGUGCAUAAGGUCUGAGACUUUACUUCUAAAAUACAUGGCAUUUCAACAGAGUGCCACGAAGGGUGAACAGUUGAGUGAUAUACCAUGGAUAACUUUAAGAAUGAUUCUACCAGCAUUGCUGUUUUGUUAGGAAACGGUGACAACCUUUUGGAAACUCUGGCAGAGAAAUUUAUGGAAUUCCUGGAGAAGGAGGAUUUAACUCUGACUCAGCCCGCCUUCACGCCCCAAGGUGCUAAGAAUCAAACAAGCGGCUCGCACACCAGAGGGUAUGCUUGGAAUGCCAGAUCCCCUCUCUUGGCUUCUGAAGAGGAUUUCAGAGAGAGGGGAAGAGCCAUGCGUUUCUGAGUGAGGACCCCUGGGGGCGUCAGAUUGAGGCUUGUGUACAUGAAAUUAUGAACGGACGAUUGUUGAGAGCAAGAUUUGGACACUAUCUUAGCACUGUCAAGCAGAGCACAAAGAUUUGGUCACCUGAUACUACUGUAUCUGGAAAUUAGAAAAAAAAAA